UGGAAAUGAAUAUCUUCUGCUAAUGUUAUGAUUUUAGCAUCAGUUGUUACUCUAUUAGAUAAAACUUCCUGUUUUGAGCUGAAUCACGGCUUAAAAGUUGAAUUCAUUGAUGACAGCACAGUAUUUGCUGUCAGGUCUCUCCGCGGCGAGUCCAUCUAUUCUCCCCUCUUCCCACAGGAGGAUGGACACAAAGGCUGCACUUGGGGUUUUCCGCUGAUCCCCAACUUGUUUGGAGAAACCCCAACUCGACUCGCCCUCGCCUCUCCUCCGUUCCGUGCCUCAACCCUCGCUUCUCCUCGACCUCCGGCGACGAUCACCGGCGGCCGCCAACCUCUCCGACAGGUUUUGAGAGCAGCAGUGCCUGAAAUUGUACCGAAACAUGAGAAAGAGAUAGCAUCUUUGUUAAAAAGCUACAAAAGACUUGUAUUCUAAGUGGCUAUUUGAGCUGAGGUGCGGCUUUGGCCUCUUAAUGUAUGGUUUUGUUUUCUAAGAAGAUUUUGCUUCAUCGGCAUUAACAGAGUUUGGAGCAGUUGUAAUCAAUGGCUAUCUUCCAUCGGUCAACAUAAAACAAGUAUUGUCCUCUACCGGUGCAUAUGCUAAUAAUUCAUGGAUUUUUGCGAUCCAAUAUCUUAUAAUUUUUAUGUUUUUUUUUUCCUCUGGUGAAUUAGGUGGAAGACAUAAUUUAUCUUCUCAUAAACCUCAAACUCAAUCCCUCCGCUGAAACCCUUAGAUUUCUCCAAGGAUUCAUGGUUAUAAUUGUGAAAUAUUUACUCUUUUUCCUAAAAUAAUUCAUAUAUGUCAAUCUAUGAAGUAGUAUUGGUGCAGGACCUAACUUAAGAAGACAACUUUAUAUGACUUAGGAUGAUAAUUACUUUUAUUCCUGCAGCUGAUUUGGUUUGAAUUGUCUUAUGUUCUGCAACCACCUCCAUCAGUAAACAUAUUGGAACUUCUCUGAUGCAAACAAUGUCAUAUGUUUGGAUAUUUUGUUUGGAAGGCAUAACCCUAAAGCUAGUUACUCAUUCAAGUGUCUAAUAAGCAUGGGUUUUCAUAUAUGAGUUGUCAAAGGUUCCAUUCAGAUUUUCAAUAUAGUAAAUAAAGAUGGUUCUCCCUCAUAUACAAGUUCCUCCUUCAUAAUUUUCUCUGUAUUCUCACUGUGCAUUGUUCCGCAAAUGUUCCCUUAUUGAUAUGUCCAUUUGAUAAGCAUCCAUGGAUAUGUUUCUAUGAUGCAGUUGUUUCACAUAAUGAACUAUAUAAUUCAUCUUAAAAAAAAACAGUGAACUGUAUAAUUGGAUUUGACAGAAUGGUACAGAGCAAUUGUUAUUGGUAGUCUUGAAUAGAAAUGUUUAGUUAGGCAUCAUAACCAUUUUUCUUUACUUAGGUAAGUCUGAGCAUUUUACGCACUUUCAUGUUCAGCCGAUUUAUAGACUUAAAUUUUAUAUUUAUUGGUUACUUAUCCAUUGUGCGUUUAUGUCUUGCUUCAGCAAUUUGGACUUUAGUCUGUGGAAGUGCUUAUUUCACUUGGAUUACAAUGGAAAUUCAAAAGCAUUAAGCAUUAUAGAAAAGUUGAUAAGUCCAUGGAGGCGAUCCACUUUGACAUCCCAAGAUCGAUAGCAAAAGGUGGCAGGUGUAGAUCUUCUUGGUUAGUAGAACAUAUAAAUAAUACAUCAAUAUAAUUUUAAAAAAUAAUAUUAAGAAUGGAAAAGCUAGGGGUUUUAACACUUCUAAGAAAAUUUUUGCUAUUUGAGUAUUAAAAUAAGAAUAUGUAUCUAUAUAUAUUAUUAUUAUUUUGUGUGUCAUUGUACCAAAUUUGUUGCUAACAUAAUACCAAAAAUAAUAUAUCCUAACAAUAUACAUUAAUUAUAUGUUAUACUUAGUCCGUACAUCAAAUAGAUGGGAAAAAAAUUGAAUGGUUCUUUCGGUGUUAUGUCCAAAAAAAUCAAGAAACUUCAUAAAGACUCAAGCUCCAUUUUGAUUCUCUUAAUUACUGGAGUAUGGGGACACUACUCUAGAAAUUUUGGACUCCAAAAUUGUAUAAUCUCGUGUUUUAAUGAUAUUCUUGUAGGGGGAAAAUAUCGUUGUAAUAUCCCAAUACCAAAGUGAAAAAAAGCCAUGGUAAGCAUUGGAAAACUUUUUAGAUCUCAUUAAGAAUUAUGCAUCUGCUCCUCUACCAUCCACUUUUCAUCCUUUCUCACCACUUCUUUACCAAUGAUCUAGCUCUCUCCCUCUCUCCAUGGCAUCUAGCUAAAGUCCAUCUUAAUGACAGUUCUCCGCUGCUUAAGAUGGAAACUAAGUUGGCUACGGUGAUGCUGGAGGACUCCUUGAUGCUUCACUUGGUGCCCUACCUCUAGCUUACCCAUGCUCCAUCCAUUCCCUAUUAGUCGCCUAGACCAAGCUCCACAUAUGGCUCAUCGCUGGCCUGGAUAAACCUCCAGUAUGCUCUCUUGUCAGCCUUUCUCCCAUCUAAUCAGAUCCAAAUCUAGUUCUAACAAAUCCCUCGGCAUUUUAUGCCAUAACCCCAUUCAAGACCCUAAUCUAGCCACCUCCAACAUCAAUUCAACUACCAAUAUAAUCAUCUAUCUCUUCAAGCAUCAAAUCCACAAUUAGUACCACCUCCACCACCACCAACAUCACCAUCUUCAUCAUCAUCUCCCUAACCUGCAUCACAAUUGCCACCUCUACCAUCGCAUUAAUCAUUGUUGCUGUCACUUCCAUAAUAAACCGCUCAUUUCAAGAAGAAACAAAAAGGUUUUUGACGAAGUCGUUUAACAACUAUUUCAUAUGUAAUAGUUCAGGACUUCACUCAAAAAAACUAGUUGGCAGGUGUUAUUUGGGUUUCAUGGUCUAUAUAAGUAUUCAAGAUCUACUCGGUGCAUAGUCAAUAUAAGACUAAACACAUGUUCGUAUAGGUCCUCACUAAAAUGCAGUACUUUCUCUAGGUGUUGUUGACUUUUUUUUACUAUUGGGAGACUGACGAGGAGGAAAUUGAAUAUGAAUGCUAUUAGUGAAAACCAU